CCUACGGGAGGCAGCAGUGAGGAAUAUUGGUCAAUGGACGAGAGUCUGAACCAGCCAAGUAGCGUGAAGGAUGACUGCCCUAUGGGUUGUAAACUUCUUUUAUAGGGGAAUAAAACGUUCCACGUGUGGGAUUUUGUAUGGACCAUAUGAAUAAGGAUCGGCUAACUCCGUGCCAGCAGCCGCGGUAAGACGGAGGAUCCGAGCGUUAUCCGGAUUUAUUGGGUUUAAAGGGAGCGUAGGGGGCUUGUUAAGUCAGUUGGGAUCGUUUGCGGCUCCACCGUAAAAUUGCAGUUGCAACUGGCAGUCUUGAGUACAGUCGCGGUGGGCGGCAUUCGUGUUGUAGCGG
rnacentral:rRNA from 1 species